CCAGACUCCUACGGGAGGCAGCAGUGGGGAAUAUUGGGCAAUGGGCGCAAGCCUGACCCAGCAACGCCGCGUGAAGGAAGAAGGCUUUCGGGUUGUAAACUUCUUUUGUCAGGGACGAAGCAAGUGACGGUACCUGACGAAUAAGCCACGGCUAACUACGUGCCAGCAGCCGCGGUAAUACGUAGGUGGCAAGCGUUAUCCGGAUUUAUUGGGUGUAAAGGGCGUGUAGGCGGGAAUGCAAGUCAGAUGUGAAAACUAUGGGCUCAACCCAUAGCCUGCAUUUGAAACUGUAUUUCUUGAGUGCUGGAGAGGCAAUCGGAAUUCCGUGUGUAGCGGUGAAAUGCGUAGAUAUACGGAGGAACACCAGUGGCGAAGGCGGAUUGCUGGACAGUAACUGACGCUGAGGCGCGAAAGCGUGGGGAGCAAACAGGAUUAGAUACCCCAGUA
rnacentral:rRNA from 1 species